ACGAAAUAUAAUGUAACACAUAACACACAAACUAUUUAACUGUCUCAGGGUCGCUACAGUACAAAAGUUCUAGACUCCCAUCUGUUAUCGGUUAUGUUUAGACUCCCAGGGGUCAUAAUAUCUACCAGGGGUCUAGUAAACAAGAAAUUUAGCAGGUGGCUCACUGUAAUUUUAUGGGCUUCGUUGGUCCCACUGAGUAUAAGAAAGGUGUAUGAGCAUUACAAACAGAGUAGCGGGACAACGUAGCGUCUGAGGCCGAAAUGGGUCCCCUAAUCGGACUGAAUGGUGCGGUUGGGUGCCAACGGUCUGGAGGUCUUCCUGUAGCUCCAGAGUAGCGGGACAACGUCGCGUCUGAGUCCGAAAUGGGUCCCGUAAUCGGACUGAGUGGUGCGGUUGGGUGCCAACGGUCUGGAGGUCCUGAGAAUCAUCCAGGGGAGCGGGACCACUUGGUUUCUGGGGCCGAAUCGGGUCCCCUUGUCGGACUGGAUGGUGCAGUUGGUGGCCAACAGUCUGGAGGUCUUCCUGAGGCUCCAGAGGAGGGUAACUCUGUGAGUCUGAGUCCGAGAUGAGUCCCCUAAUCGGACUGAAUGGUGCAGUUUCAGUACGCCGUGGACCACUUUGGUCUGCCAUCGUCAGUCGCUACUCGCUACUGUCUGCCGUGGAAUCAAAACAAACCCUCUAGUUGAGGACGCGCCUUGAUGACGCGGGCCCGAAUGCGCCACAAGAAGCAGACGGAAAACCUUAUAUAUCCAUGCAGCAAACAGACAGGUCUGUCGGCCAAUAAGGUCAUUCGGUCCGAAGAAUUUUAUUGGUUGAAGUUUUAACUAAAUAUUAUGAGAGUAAAAUAAUUGUUUGUUUUUACUCCUGGUGGGUCUGUCUUGCAUAUUAGAGUGUUAUUACCUUAUUAAUACCAAUUUAACCUUAUCCAAAAAAAGUGUAAAAAUGCAACAAAGGUAAGAGUCCCUUU
ensembl:lncRNA